AUGUCUCUGGAAGCAAGGUCCAUAGAUGAUGACACAUUUUCUGAGAGGGUCAUGUGGCUGAGAAAUGAUGCACCUGCUGUGCAGGAGGUCGUGAGAAAGUACCCAGUGCUAGGAAGUUGCAAAGGGAUUGCUACUCGGUGGGGAUCAUACAUGCCCUUUCACAACUUUUGAAGGAGAGUGCAAGCGACAUGUUUGCAACAGACAGCAAUGCAGUCUACCCAACAGUGAUAACAGAGGACCCCUUCAAGUUCCAGCCUUGUCAAGUCACCGUGGAGGGGAGCACCUACGAUGCAGUUGAUGUCAUUGCAGCCAUUAGUACUGGGUUCGAACUCUACUGGGUUUUUAACCUUAAAUAUGCACCAUCCCUUGCAAGGACAUUUGCAGCUCUUGAGCACUUUUUUGGACUGGGAGGGAAGAAGAAAAAUAGCAUCCUUGUGUCACGACUAAUCUCUGAUCUUGCAUAGUAGUUCUGGGCACAAGACGCAAAACUGUAGCUGCAAAACUGCAAAACUGCAGCUCGCAAGCA